GUGCUCACCUCGGCAGCACAUAUACUAAAAUUGGAUCGAUACAGAGAAGAUUAGCAUGGACCCUGCGCAAGAAUGACAUCCAAAUUCAUAAAGUGCUCCAUAUUAAA